GACUCAAGCGAGCCCAGCCAGCCGCACUGCGAGCUGGAACAACACGGGGAUAAACACAGAAUAUCCACCUAUGACUCCAGCUGCAUGUCUCAUCCUCAUAAACCGACUUUACUCGUCAGUCUGGACUCGUUUGUAAACACUGACGCGGUUGAAUGUCGGGAUGACGCAUUCAUCAUCCACUUCUCUGCCUGUAAACACUUUAUUUGUUUUUACGACUUAUUGAACCUGCUCUCAACUUUGCUGUGAGGUAUUGUCAGCAGCGCUGAAUGGGUCGCUCCAGUCUGCCCGGGCUGUCCAAUGGCAGAGAGGCACAGAGAUGGGAGCCCCCUAUUGGCUCCCCACAUGAUCGAUCCGCGGGCUGAUUGAUCGGUUAUAGGCCACAUUGGCAAGAAAGGCGCAAAACAAAACGUCGUCUGCCAGUGGAAAACACACACUUUGCGUUUCCCAUCAGCCUCUGCAGCCUGUGAAUUCACCAAAAACACACAAUAUUUGGCCAAGAUCUCUCUCCCUCUCUCUCUCAAACACACACACACACGCACGCACAUACACACUAAUUUUCACAUCACAAGCUUAAUUACUCACUUGUAAAUGCACUCACACUUUGACUGAACUUCUCCAAACCAAACAGCCGCAUAUUCAGAUUAGGAUUUUGUCAACUCUCGUCUCUCUGAGCAGAUACUGAUAUUGAUUCAACUCUCUUCAUAAUGAACCGUUCGCUUGAGUCUUCACUGGUUUGCAGAGCAGAGAUUGUAAAAGUUUGGUCAAAUAUUGAUGAGCUUUAAUUUAUGGAAGAGAAACCUGGAUUCUUGAGUAAUUUCAAGAGCAGUAAUGACACCACUCAGUAAUGUGUGGAUGUAAAUUAAAAUGAAUUUGAAUUUACGUUAUCUCGUUAUGUUUGAUUCCUCACUGGGAUAUAAAGGGGAGCAAAUCUUAUUUCAUUUAGUUUAUCAAGUUUUUUUUAAUUAUGAAAGGUAAGUUUAACUACCUCAAAAUGUGUUUAAGAUAUUUAUGAGAUAUUUCAAAGGAUAUGAAGUAAUUUAAAAACAGGAUAAAUUACAUGGACAGGAUUAAUUUUAAGGGAAGACGCGCACGUGAAGCAUUUUCACAAAUUCUAGUAGAUUUUUGUUUAUUUUUGCGGUUGUUUUCCACUUGCUGAGAGGCUCACCCAACUUUUUUUUUUUGUAUUUAUUUCUCAGCUCAUCAUACAUGAAUGAAGAGUGUGUAAAAGAGCCACAUUAUCUCCUGAUUAUACUCAUGAGGUGUUGCUGGUCGGUGACAGCCUGUUUGAAGGAGUUUUUUUCUCCCCCCGUGCAGCGCGUCCAGUCAUCGAUCAUCUGCCCCCGGUGCCAGAAACGGUGUCAUAACAUGAUAAUGCGGCUUCACACAUUCGCCGGUGAUUCCUGUGGCAAGAAAAAAAAAAAACCCGAGCGCUGGGAUCCGAUGGGACAAUUUUACAGGCAUGAAAUGACUUUCAAAGCCUCCCGCAGUCCAGCCGGCGAGGCUCCGGGGCGCGGACAGCAGAGAAGCCGGGAAGCCGCGCAGGACGCACGGACUUUUACGCACAGAGAUGCCGGAUCAAACAAUAAUCCCGUGUAAAUGUGCUCAUCGAGUUUGUUAAUUCACUUAUUUGUUGAGUAUUCACUUCUGCUGGAUCCUGCAGUUUGGCUCAAAUGUUCCUCUGAGCUGCUCUCGUCUCUCACACACAUUAAUGCUUAAUCAUUUGCGCCUUCUACCGGAGCUGCAGGAAAUUACACGUAAUGCAGAAAUGCAGACGAAGAGUCCUGCUCUGAUAAUUGAGAUCAAUAGCAAAAAGUAAGACCCCUGCAAGAGAAAUCUACCGUGUGCCCACUUCUUUAUUUCUCAUCUUCCUCUGCAUGCUGCACUAAAUGCAGAAUACACUGUAUGUAUAUGCAGUAUACAAUAUACUGAAUCUAUGAAGAAAUGACUUGUGAUAUUUCUCAUGAUCUCUGUUUAUGUAAAUAAUUAAACAUGCUAAUAAAAUACACAACUGCGCCUGUCA